CACAGAGAGACACAGAAAAGAAGGCCAUGUGCCGACCAAGGCAGGGAUUGGGGUGAUGCGUCCAUGAGCCAAGGAGCACCAAGGAUUUCUGACCAUCCCCAGGAGCUAAGAGAGAGGCAUGGAACAGAUCCUUCCUCCUCUCCUCCAGAAGAAACCAAUCCUGCUGACACCAUCACUUCGGACCUCCCACCUUCAAAACCGAGAGAAUUUCUGUUGUUUUAAGCUACCAAGUUUGUGUUAAUUUGUAUUGGCAGCCCUAGGAAACUAACACAGAAACAAUCUACAAGGAUUUAGCAAGAGUAAAGAAAAACUGUCAAGGCACAGAGAAGCACCCUGUUUGGCAAAGAAGGGGAGGGGAUCGUUAGCACCGUCUCAGAUGACGCAGAGCUUGGGUAGAGAAAGAGAGUGUUUUACGAGGCAGCCUCAUCAGCCACAAGCAGCAGUUAUGACCCCUCGGCCACUAUGGAGGGUGAAGACCUGAAGAGAGAAAAAGAAUGCAGAUCAAGGCUUCCAGCAGAGAAGACUUUACAGAGACUGACUUCCUGCCAGACUAGAUCUUGAACGGUCUAUUCCAAAAAGAAAGAGCGAGCUUUCAUCAAGCCAGCGAGAAGGGAAGGCACAUCAGUGAAGCUGUUCUUUUGGCUCAUUUAUCUUAGCUGAAAGUUGUUUCAAAUAAGAAAGGAAAAUCUAUUUGAAGGUCUUAAAGUGAGAAAAACAAAUGAACUUAACUUUGGUAACAAGCAAUUAGACAACAUAUAAAAAUUGGAUUUUCCUAAAACUUGGCAAGGAAUAAAUAUCCAUGAAUGCAUUUCUGAGAGUGACAUAGAAUGAAUCAUAAUGAAGGCAGAGGGAAGAACCAGACUCAUGAGCAUUGCUGCUCCAGCUGGGUACCCCUCCAGGGUCUCCACAAAUCAGGGACUCGUUUCCACUUUUGCCCCAUGACCUGUGCAAUGGUUAUAGCAAUAAGACACCUCAAGCCAAACUAUGGACAUAAAUAAUUAUACUCUCAAUUUCAACUCAGAACGGAAGUUGAGUGACAGGAGCACUCUCAAUAAGAAACGUUUCAAAGUCUGUAUUUUCUGACCUUCACAGGAAAAUUGACCAUGUACCAGGGGCCUAUGAAUCAAUACUGUAUGCAGUAAGGCAAAAUGUAGAGAAAACGGGAUGAAUAAAAAGCAGUCCAGGAGAUCACACUGAACACAAAGGAUUUGGGAUUCAACAGGAGCACCCUCAACAGACACUCGGCAGAACCAGUCAACUUUAAAUAUGCUGCAUUUCCAAGUCAGAGUGUCCUCAGGCGGGAAGACAAUUACAAGUCAGAAGUCUCAGGAGACAGCCAAGAGCUAUUCUGGUCUGUGGAUUAGGAAACAGACUUCAGACAGUAUUCCAUAUCCAGAGGAAGUCAGAUGCCCACUUUCCAUUUUCCUCAAUCUAAGAAGCAAUUGGACUCAUCUCUAAUGUGUCAGAUACAAAGAAAU
rnacentral:lncRNA from 1 species